UUGCCUCCUUCUCUUCUAGCUCUCUCUCUCUCUCUCUCUCUCUCUCU
rnacentral:sRNA from 1 species